rnacentral:rRNA from 1 species
UACGGAGGAGGCUAGCGUUGUUCGGAAUUACUGGGCGUAAAGCGCGCGCAGGCGGUCUUGCAAGUCAGGGGUGAAAGCCCGGGGCUCAACCUCGGAACUGCCUUUGAGACUGUGAGACUCGAGACCGAGAGAGGAGAGUGGAAUUCCCAGUGUAGAGGUGAAAUUCGUAGAUAUUGGGAAGAACACCAGUGGCGAAGGCGGCUCUCUGGCUCGGUACUGACGCUGAGGCGCGAAAGCGUGGGGAGCAAACAGG